UCAAAUCUGGAAAAUGAAGAUUGUUAACAGUGUUGAUGCAGAGGUUAUCUGCCGCUCUAUCACGCGUAUUAUCACGCGUUUGUUCCACGAGUGCGAAUAGAGUAAGAAUGAAUUAGAAUCGGACAGAAAUGGAAUAAUCUAUUUUCUCUUCUGAUGAAAGAUCGAAGUCCCACAUGGAUCAUCGCUUGGGAAUUAGAAAGGCUGACAUAACGGGACGAAGUAAAAUUCUAUCGGCGGAAAGUAUCGUGAAAAAUGAAAUUAUCCGGAAACCAUGCUGGCUGGCAAGUGGAAAGGGAGUUAAGCGGCCUUCGUCCGGCAAAUAAUUGAUGCACGUCAAUUAGAUUUGUCAGGGUGAUCGUCACAAUGAAAUUAACAGGAACGCCAGGCAUAGACGUACACCGCACGUACACCACGUUACAUAUAUAUAUAUAUAUAUAUAUCCAACAGUAGCGGAGCAGUAGACUUGUUUCACCUACAAGGUGUAUUGCAAAUCGGCUGACAUUGGAUUCGAUACGAUUAUCAGGCAAGUUGUUGAACCGCUUUAAAUCCAAUCAGAUACUUAUUCCCAUGAUUUCUGCGACGAAAUUAAUUUCAGUUUUGUUUCACAGGGACGGGUUUCACGUCGUCUUUCGCAUUAUUCGUUACGUUUUAAGAAAUUUUUCUCGACUCGUUACGGAAGGAUAUCGCGAAUGAUAAUUUUUUAAUGGAUGAAGCAAAUGUUUGGAAAUUUCAAUAUCGUCUUUAGUCGAUAAGCGAAGACUUAUGGGACACACUGUGUAGACGAUACACCACGUAGUCGUGUAGCAGUCUCAUGGCAGAGUAGGUGGUGUGAAAUUUAAAUUUUUCCAAUACCGGAUACCGCUAAUUCCGUUGAUCCAGUAAAACUGCUAGAAAUUCCUAUCGCGCUUUCUCGUUAACGAAGAUAACGCGAUCGUUCUGACUAUUCCGCUAAAAGAACGGCCAAUUAUCGGCCUACUUAUCGACGAUAUCCUUUCCUCCUUUUUACACCCUAAUCUCCUUCCUUCGCCCACAGAGGACAAAAUUUCAAGAUUUUGUUCUCUGUGUCGUGCAAAGAGAAGAAGAGAAUCGAAAGUUUCUCGUUUGAAUCGAUAUUAUGCGCUCACGAAUUCUUCCACUAUUUUAUUCGAUCGCUGAACGAAUACCUCGCUUAUCCGAAAAAGCACCAGCCCUUGGGAAUCCAGCUCAAAUUCUCUCGACAAUUCUUUUUAUUAGAAAAGGAGUUUUAUUCGACGUGAUCAUGCGUACAGAAUAUAUAAUACAAUUCACAAUUUGGAUAACACGAUAUUAAUCAACUGCCUGCGGAGAACUUUGCCGGAUGGAGUCUUGGGUAAAGUUUCGACGAAUUUAACACCGCCUCUCAGCCAUUUCUGCGGCGAUAAAUUUCCUAAAAGCAAAAUUGUCGUUCUCGUUAAUAGCGAAUUUCACACUUUGCUUGAACCAUUCAAGCCGUGGACGCAACACUCACUUUUCACGAAAUCCACAAUUUCUUCAGCCGUCACGUUCUGGCCCGGUUGCCUCACCACCACGGCCAUCGGCAACUCUCCGCUCACCUCGUCGGGUUUACCCAACACAGCCACGUCCUUGACACUCGAAUGCGUUAGCAACAAUGCCUCGAUCUCGCUUGGCGCCACUUGGAAACCUUUGUACUUGAUGAUUUCCUUUAUUCGCCCCGUGACGUACAAUCCUCCAUCCUCGGUGAAAUAUCCCAGAUCGCCCGUGUGGAGCCAAUUCCGCUCGUCGAUCGUUUCCGCGGUGCUUUUCGGAUUCUUGUAGUAUCCCAACAUUAUCUGAUCCCCAGCGAAGCAAAUUUCCCCCACUUUCCCCGCCCCAAGCGUCUCCCCCGUCUCCAUGCUCACCACCUUGCACUUGAAACCGGGCAACGGGGGGCCGAUCGAGGCGUCUUUGCACGAUCUCUCGCUCAGAUUCGAUACCACUGUCAAUUCCGUCAUGCCGUAACCGUUCCGUAUAUUUUUCACUUUCGUGCGCCGUUUCAGUUCGUUCGCGAUCUGAAAACGAACGUUGAUUGAGAGAUUUGAGAGAUUCGAUACAAUCGAUUGGUUGAAUCGAUUUUGCAUCGAGAUAUAUCGAGAUAUUUGAAAGGAUAGCUACCAGGAUAGGUGGGACGAGUGGCAAAUGUGUGAUCUUGUACUUUUGAAUGGAGUUCAGUAACUUGUCCGUAUUGUAAUCUCGCAUUAAACACAUGAUCGUAUCGAAGCAUAUGCAAUUGCACAUCAUCCCGAAAGCGUAGCCGUGAAACAGUGGCAAGAAAAUUAUCAUUCGAUCUCCUUGUUGAAGGUUCAAGAAGUUCGGCUUGCUUUAAUGAGAGGAAACGAAUAAAUUGUAAUAAGAUGAGAUAGAUUUAAGUAAAAAAGGGAAGUAUAUUUACUUUUACUUUGGCAACGAAUAAAAUACGUAUAAUGUACAGUUAUACAUAUAUUAUAUAUGUUGUAAUAUUUUUUUAGGGGAUAUUGAAAACGUGGCAAUGCAAUUUACCUUAUACUCUGAAUGAAGGUUAAUAAAUUUCGAUGAGAGAUCAUCACUCCUUUUGGAAAACCCGUUGUGCCGCUAGAACAAAGGAUGACUGCCAUUCUCUUGCUGUCCACUUGCACCGGUGUGAACAUACGAGGACACACGAGGAUAUUUCCAUAUUUUUCCAAAAACACGUUCAACGUUACCACAUUUCCAUCGAGAGCUUCGUCGUCCAAUUCUAUUAAUUUUAUAUCCCAGCUUAAAGUAGACGCGACUUUUACCAAAAGCUUUUCGGUGCGUCGAGAUACGAAUAUCACUCGUGGCUGAUAAAUUUCCAACAUGUGGCUGAAUUCUCCUACGUUGAAAAUUUUCCGUUAAACUCGAAUAUUUUCCAUCAUUUUACAAAGCGUAAUUUCGAAAAUUAUUUAAACUUAUUUAUCGUACAAUUAGAUAUAUUAAUAGAUUGUGGAUGGUUUUGCGCAAAAUACAAUUUUUCUAAACGAGAUUAAAGAAAUGGAGAGUAUUAUAUUCUUCAUAGAUUUUUGUACGUUCAAAUUUGUCUUUAAUAAAUACGCAAACAUCCGCAGUCUAAUUAUUAACUCUUUGCAAACGAGUUUAACUUUCAAUUCGGGUUAUAAAUUCAAGAUCAAAGUAUUUUUAAAAUAAUGGAUAAAAAUACGUAUCGCUUCAAAUUGUAUUACUGGAAACUGAAAUGUCGUAUAAAUUAAAAACCUGAUUUGAUUGAUCGUAACUUUUGUCUGCGAAGGGUUAAUAUUUGAAAUACAUCCAAUCCAAAAAGAAUGAUUGGAUGGAAAAUUAUCGAACUAAAACGAUCGACUUUACUUUCAGUGUAUGCUGGAUUUAAAGGUGCGAACGUAAUUCCGUUGAAAAAUGUGCCACACAUCGCUAUCAUCAGAUUUGGAUGAUUUUCGCUUGUAAGACAAACUCUGUCUUCCAUGUUAAUUCCAUAAUUUCGCAAAGCAAUGCUUAAUCUUAUACUCUUGUCGAGAAUCUCUUUACGCGUGAAACGUGUAUCAGUCUCGAUAUCUAUCUAAAAUGUCAAGAUUAAAUAUUACGCAAGUCAAAUACAUUUCAUAUAUAUAUAUAUUUCCAUAAUGUACUACUUGUCCUUCGAUUGAAUCGCGAUUUAAUAUCUCGUAAUGAUUCAAUCUGCUAUCUCAAAAAAACUUACUUGUACGAUGUCAUUGGGAUUGUUAUGUAAAUUGUUGAACAAAUAUUGCCCUAGAGAAAUAUUUGGAAUUUCUGGCAUUGGCUCGCCAUAAAGUAUAUUAUUUUUUAUAUUCAUUUUUGUUUCAGAUUAUAUCUGCAACAAUAAAAUUCAUCCUGGAGAUUAAUAAAUUUCUUACUUUCUGGAGAUACGCUGAUUUUGCACGUGGAGUGCUGAUUAAGAUUUUUCUAACACUAGCAUGAAGGAGUCCUCCAAAUUGAAAAAAUAAAACAGAAUUGAAGAAUGAAAUCCGCAGGAAUAAAUUUAUAAGUUUCUAAAUAUUUCUACGAGACUAUUUUCAACUAUGUUAUUUGUGUGUUCGCUUGGGUGUUUUUCUUCAAACCUGCAAAAGAUCAAGAAUAGGGCCCGAGGGAAUGGAGUUACCCCUUGAGAGAUAAUCAACCUUGAAUCACUUCUCUCCAAUGCUCUCCCGGGUGCUGUGUGUUCUGGAGAGGAAAUGACCAUCGGUGAAUGAUGGGUUAGGCCCCUGAAUCACCGAGGAUAAUCAUAUCAGGACCCACGACCUUUAGACAAUGACCUUAUAAUGACAUAUUGCCGAUCUAUAAAUUAUAUCUAUAAAUUAGAGAACCUUCCAACUUUCUAACUGUUUAAAGACAAAUUUCCAAGAGCCCUGUCUGCCUGUCAGCCAGACCACAAAGCCAUCCAUCGUUGGGCUUAACAUUAUGGAAACUUGAUUUGAAUCAAAACGGUAGAAAAAUUGGAACCUUUCCUGGAGAUUUCUGGAGAUUUGUUAUUUAAAUUUCGAUGGAAACUUAAACAGUAGAUGGACAUUGAUACAGUUUUUGUUCUCCUUCAACAAAGGAGGACAAACUUUCUAUCAGAUUUGAAAGAAAGGAUCUUUUACUUCAAAUUGGAGUUCAUUGAAUCAUCCUUCGUGUCGAUUAUAAAUAAGUUGACAUUUUUGUUUGAUACAUAAUCUGAAAAAUCUUUUUUAGAUUGCAAACUUACAAAUCGACUUACAAAUUUAUACUCUCUUCUGCUAUUAUAUACGAAUAACAUACGAAUUUACAAUUUACAAUUUAUUGUAAAUUAUUUUUAAAUUCGUUCCAACUUAUUCCUCGAAUAUUACGAAUUAAUGGUGAUUUUUUUUUUCAGGUUCGAUAGGAAGACUUCGAGAGAAAGACUUUGGUAAUACAUCUAUCACUUUCAUACAAGUUCGAUUAUCGAUCUGAAAGAUUACCACGAUCGUUUUCAUUGGCGAAGACAGAGAACUUUAGGAGGACGGUUGAUUGGUUCAGUGGUGGUAUUAGCUUGAACUUCCACGACUGAUCGUGCGAUAGGACCCAAUGUGUAUUCAACCGUAGGAAGAUACGUGGAUUUUGAAUUCGAGGGAUGGCAUUCGCUGAAAUAGAUCGUUCGAGGCGGGAUCUCGAUAGUUUCACCUGUUAAACGUAAUUCGUUCCUCGUCCUUCGAUAAGAUUCAAUAAGAUUCCGAUCCUCUUCGAUUCGUCCAUUUAAUUUCACUAUUAUAAGAACACUUGUACUUUAACUUUUAAUCUUUGCACGAUUCGUUGCACGAUUUUACGCGUAAUUUAUCUUUCGCUCUGAUGAAAAGAAUAUUUAUAUCGAUCAGACGAGUCAAUUAUCGCGAAUAGAAAAAAAAACGAGAAAUUUUUCCUUUCGAAAGUUACUCUUUUUUUGUUUUAAUUAAGAAGAAUAAAAGUACGGGUGCUUAUAAUAUUAAAUUAUCGUGGGACGGAUGAAAAAUCGGAUAAAUCGGAGGAAAAGCUCGAUAUCAGGACGGAAACGUCUCAUUGACAAAUUGUUUUCCUUCGGUAUCGACUGGUUUCGGUGGCCUGCAGGGAGCAGAAGAGCGGAAGACGGAAAAAUAUUUUUGUUUGCACAUAGUAGAAAUGAAACGAUACGAUUUUAUUUUGACACAAACCGGAGAACCAAUUCUCUCCGCUAUCAAUAAUAAUCUUUUUCGAUCGCAAACAUUCGACUGCAUGACAGGGAGAGGGAUGGAAAUGCGCGGAGAAGACGAUCGAAUCGAAUUAAUUUCUUUCCUUUUUUGUUCUUUUAUUAUUUUUUUUCUUUUGAAACGUGAAUUAUAAACGCGUUAUUUCACGCUUGUUAAACGCGUUAAUAUUUUUUUGCUGCCUAUACUCGGAUAUCGUCCCUCGCAUUUCUCUCUCUCUCUCUCCGAGAAAUCCCAUUGGAAAUCCUUCAAAUAUUCGAGGAUGGUAAAAUGGUGAAACGCGAAGUAGGAAUCCGUUCUUGGAAGUCGGAAUGCCGAGAAAUCGCUGUUCAGGCUCAGUCGACGUAGAUGUGAAAUUGGAUCGAAGAUCUGCGCUCGAUGUAUAGGAAACGCGGUUCCACCGAACGUUCGUACCCAUAUGACCGUGUAAAUUGUUCACGAAAACUUCUUAUCGUCCGAUUCGAUAAAGAUAAACACCCGACUCUCUACACUAUAUACAUUUAAAUAUGAAAGGGCAAGCUUCGAAUUAGUUCUUAAGAGAGAUUACGCAUUCGCUGUAUCGAGUGUUUUACAAUCUCUUUCUUCGAAUAUCGUAACAAAUUUUAACUUUUAUCCAAAGAAAUCGAUCGAUUUCACUUUUCAUCUUCGCAUCGAAUUGGACGAUCGAACGACGUCUCACGACGUCUCGAGUAUCGCGGUGGGCAGAGGGAGAGGUGGGAAACUGGGGUGACUAGGAGUCGGAGAGGUUAGUUUGAUCGGGUGGCAGGGGAAGAUGGGUAUGAGAGCGCGUGCCACUCUGAUUGUAGCGACCAUACUGGGACGCAUACCUACGAUUCUUGGUUUCGUGCGGCGUGCCUAGACACCCCGAGAAUACUUAUCGCUCGGACCGAGCCGAGCUAACCGCUAUCAUUUAAAAGAGAGUUUACGAUUCGACCGACUUUCCGUGCUAUUUAAUUCUCGAUUAAAAGUGUCUCGAAUUUCAUUUCUUCUUCAAAUAUAUUCACUAGUCUUUCGAAUUUGUCGAUUGAUUUACGAGGAUAUUUGGUUCUUUUUUCUUUUUUCCGGUAGGAGAGUGAAAAUAAAGCGAACAUUUUUAAAAAGUAAUUUUUACGACCUUUUGAAACAAAAAGAAAAAUUUAUAAAAGAAAAUGUUGAUCGUGUUAUUAAGAAAGGGAUAUUUAAUCUCGCGGUAUUUAAAAUUUAGACGAAUCGAGAGGAUCGUGAGGCGUGUUACCAUCUGAAAAAAUGUAUCGAUCGAGCAAAGAGUUCGUUUAUUACGCUUGUUUCUUUUUUCUUUUUUUUUUUUUAUUUUUUCGACGAGAUUCACGGCGAGUGUAAAAUGGAAUAUACGAAAUAUAUGAAUAUAUAUUUCGUCUCUGGUAUAAUUUGGUACGCGAGUAAAAGGCUCGGUUCAAAUAACAUUAACCUCUCCGACUCUCGGUGCGUGGAGAUGCGGGCACAAAGAAAUAUUUUACACGCGUACAUUACAGCGGGGGGGAAAAAAAUUGAAUUUCACUUUUAAAAAAUUCACCUCGAGACUUCUAUUCGAUCCUAGGUUUUAAAAAUCUCAGCCAGGCCGCGGCGCGCAUUCAUUUACGCGACAAAGAGCUUUUACAACACGUUUCGAGGCGAGUUUAAAGGUUGGAAAAGAUCCGGUUCGAAAAAGCUUUCUUCCCUUCUUUAUCUAAAUCGCUUUUAAUCGACUGUUUAGCCCACUGCGCUUGUAUUUUUCACUUCGAUCAAAGGGAAUAUACGGCAAACUUUCGUCUCGAAAAAAAUAUUUACGAACGGUGUCGAAUACGCGCGUGAAAAAUCUCGCAGAGCCUUGAACCAUCCAAUCUAAAAUUCGUGUAGACUCGCUUGCACGCGCCACCAUUUCGAGUAUUAAUCCCUUUAUAUUCUUCCAUACGAUUAAAUACUGAGAAUUUUCAAGAGGGGGAAAUUAUGAUUCGUAAUUGUAUCUUGUAUAUGGAUUCGUUCUCCACUCGACGAGGGUCAAAUUAAGAGUCUCGAAUAUUUCGAAUCCGCUUCGAAUUUUCGAAUCGAUCGAUCGCUACUCGAUUCGAGCCGUGGAAAAUAAAAAGAGUGAGAAAAACGUUGAUCCGUUGAAAAAAAUAUUUAAAAAUUUCGAACAAAGUAAUAAAUAAAUUAUCUAUUAAAAUACUUAUGAACAACAUUUAUUCAGCUAUCAUACUCGAUCCGUUUCUCGUAUAAUUUCAACCAAUUUAGUGCAUCGCAAAAUUAUUUUCGAUUAUUAUUAUGUUCUGAACGAUAAAUUAUUAAAGUAACAUUUAUUAUUCGCAACUUGGACUGUUAAUAUUUUCCUGCUCGUCACAGGCGCGGAACCGUGAGAUUUCUCCUCGAGAGGGGGAGGAGGAUGAAAAAUCAGCGGCGACAUUGAGACGCGUGGAGGAGCAAUCGGCCCCGAUUGUUCCAUCUUCCGCUCUCCGUAUUAACGUAAGGCCGCGACUUAACGGAAUUAACGAGACGAGGUGUCUGGGUGGGGGAAGGGUUGGAAACGCAGCGUCGGGAUUUUGAUAACAUGUGACUUUAUCUGGAAUUGCCGAGCGCGCAGGUAGCCUGUUUACUUAAGAUAAUAGCGAAGCGGAGUGGCGGAGAGGAGGCGGGAGUCGGCGGUGGGAGGAACGAGGAAAGAACGCGUCGACGAGUGGAAUAGUAGACGGCGGAGGGAGAGAGGGGGUAAGAAGGGAAGGUUGUGCUUUGCCGCACAAGCGGAAGCGGCUAAGGACGGUGUAAAAGCGGAAGAAGAGGGAAAAUGGAGGAAGAAGAGGGAGGGAAGGUGAGAUUCUCCGGGCUACAAGAACUUCAUUUUCCAACCCAUUACGCCCCGCCACCCUUUACCCUCUUCGAUUAAUUUAUAUCGAAAUUUUAAACGACAUUCAUCGUCCCCAACCCGAACGAUAAAUAACGCUACUAGAUUUUUCUACUACUUUCGUCUUUUCUUCGCUUGCUUCUUCCCCCUCCCUCUCUCUCUCUCUCUCUUUCUCUCCGUGUCCCGUGUAUUGGAGAAAAAAGCUCUGGAACGAAGGAUCUGGCUAUAGAAUAUAUUUUGAAAUAAUAGAAAGGAAGCAAAUUAUAAUAAAUAAAUAACGAUAGAAAUAUGUUACGAUGUAAGAUAGGUUAAAAUUAAUUCAUAAAUGUCAGUUGGCUAGAUUCCUCACUAGGUGGCGUGCGUUCGAUCGUAUCUGUGUAUAUCAUGGGCGAUCAUAAACAUUUAUUUUAAUAUGAUUUUGCAAAAUUUUGCGAAUCGAAUGUGACAAUAAAAAAAAAAGCAGAAAGUUUCUAUUUUUCAUAUUUGUUCAUUACAUCGUGAGAAUUUCUAAUACGAAGUAGUUACUUAUAUUCAAGUUUAUAAAAAAAAAAAAUUUUAAUUUAUACAACGGUUUAAAUUAAAAUCGAUAUUUCGUGACGUUAUAUCCGUUAAAUGCUUCUUAAAAAAUUUAUAGAAUAUUUUCUCAAUUAUUGAAACGUGAUCGAUCGAAAUUAUCGAUUAGUUCUCUAUCUAUCUACACAAAUAUUUCGUUUAAUUUGUAAAUGUUCAAAAAGAGGAUUUAAAAAUUUUAAUGUAUUUGUUAUGCAUUACAUUGAAACAAUUAUUUUUUAUACAUUUUUGAAAUUUAAUUAAUAUACAUUAAUUAUUACAGCGGCACAACAACGAUCCCUUUUAUAAUAAUUGCCACGAUAUUCCACGGAAUAGAUCCUUUUACAUUCUCUUUUACGCGAGGAAAGAAAGUUUCGUUUCUUUCUUCGCGCAAAUUUUCACGAUCCACUAUAUUUCGAUAAAGGUCAUUGAAAAGUUACACGCGAUAUCAUGCUUUUGAUAUUUCUCACGCUAUUUUUAUUAUAGAUAAAAUAAUAAAAAAAAAAUAUUUUUCUCGUAACUUUAUCGAUAAUUUCAGUGAGUUUAAAACGAUCGGUCGAAAUUUGUCUCUGUCGAAAUCCGUGAUAACUUCGAUAGCUCCGUGU